rnacentral:tRNA from 1 species
GCCGCCUUAGCUCAGUUGGUUAGAGCGCUAGAUUGUGGAUCUAGAGGUCGGUGGUUCAAAUCUACCAGGCGGUACCA